ACUAUCCAUACACAAAGAUGUAUUGUGGAUUUAAGUAAUAUCUGCGAAUAUUUAUGUGAAAAUGUAUUAGUGUUCUGCUGACAUGAGAUCUGAAAAUGUGUUCUAGGACCUGAUAUGGAUUAAUCCAAUGAUCAACGUUUUCCUUUGUAUCCCUGUUUUGUAUACGCUGCCAUUACAUGAUGGUCAUAUGUCCCGGAUGAUCGGGAGAAGUCACGUGGUUCAAUUAUUAUUAUUUUUUUACGUGGUUCAAUUAUCUGUUAAUAAAAUUUUUUUACCAUGCAUUUAGCAUCAGGCAAAGCCUGCAAUCAAUCUAUUAAGACAGAAACAAUAUCUUACUUAUUAUUAUGUUGUUAUGACAAUAUCAUGUGAUCAUCUGAGUUAGAACAAAAUCUAUUCAUUUUCAGGUAUAACUGUGCAAGUGCCCUGAAUCAUUCUGUUGAAAUGUUAUGUGUUUAAGAUUCUUUAUGACAUCAAGAUGUGGUUUGGGAAGGACCUUCAUCUAAAUCUGAAGACAGGACAUACUGGCUCAAAAAGGUGUUUCUGAUAUGGAGAAAAACCCUGCACUGCUCAUUUUAUUUCUUCAUCUUGAGAAUACAGCAAGUUUACCUUUUGUCUGGAAAAUGAUUCAGCAAAGCUAACACCAACAACAAUUUUUCAUGGCACUUUAAACCACCUUGAUGUGAGGAGCCAGCAUCAGAAUGGAUGGUGUCAAUAUCCUGAAAGUGGAGGUAACAGAGGUGGAUCUCGAGACUUGGCCAUGUUCUAGAUUAUAACUGGAUUAUCACAAGUGCUGUCGCCCCUGCUGUAUAUGACGCCCCCACCACCUACACCAGGUGUAGGAAAUGUCGGUCCUGGAGUGCCGUUGUCCUGCAGAGUUUUGCUCCAGCUCUAAACAAACACACCUGAACAACUAGAUCUGAAGAGUCACCAGAAAACUACAGGUAGGCGAGGUUUUAUCAGGGUUGGAAAUGAAAUCUGCAGGAUUUCGGCACUCCAGGACCGACGUUGCCUACUACUGACCUACACCUUCAUCCUGCCACCACCACCCAUACUACCUACAAAAAACUGUAUUGUAAUUAUGCUUUUCACUGUAUUGUAUGAUGUGGUUUUCUCAUUUAGGGUAACUACACUAUGGCAACAAUUGGAUACAUUGAUUGCUGACUGAUUUUGUUAUUUUUUCUUUACUUUUUGUUUAAAAUCUAAUCAUUUUUUUGUUAUUUUUGUUAAUAUUGUUACAAAUAUACAGUUAAAACUGCACAAUAAAUUUUCUGCUUUUAAA